UACGUAGGGUGCGAGCGUUAAUCGGAAUUACUGGGCGUAAAGUGUGCGCAGGCGGCCGCGCAAGUCGAGUGUGAAAGCCCCGGGCUUAACUUGGGAAUUGCGCUCGAAACUACGUGGCUGGAGUGUGGCAGAGGAAGGUGGAAUUCCAGGUGUAGCGGUGAAAUGCGUAGAGAUGUGGAGGAACACCGAUGGCGAAGGCAGCCUCCUGGGCCAACACUGACGCUCAUGCACGAAAGCGUGGGGAGCAAACAGG
rnacentral:rRNA from 1 species